rnacentral:lncRNA from 1 species
GACAUUUUAAAACAUUUUAUUACAAGAUAUCUAGUGUGUGCUUCAAUUGUUGGAUCACACUGAACACAGUAUCUAUGAACGCUUCUAUUUGAUUAGGGAGGAACCGGCCCGGACUUUUUCUACAAAGUAGCAAUAUCAUAUUUCAAGCUGGGGAACAGCAUUUGGCUCAGACCAUAUGUUCAUCUCUAUACAACUGAAGUCACCAAUAGCUUACAGACUCUCUCAGUAAUUUCUCCACGUCACAGUGUUGAAUGCAAGAUGGAUGAGAGUCAAGAUAUCUAAAGAAGGCUAAGGGGAAGAAUGGUUAGAUUAAAUUAGUUUUCCCCAAACUGUGAUGCGAGAUCUUCAGACAACUGCCAUGGACAUCAGGUAGGAGCUUGAUAAAAUUAAAAAUCCUACCUUAAAAAAAUAAAAAAUAAAAAAUAAAUAAAAAUCCUUGUGUCCUGGCCUACAGAGUGAGUCUCUGGGUCCCACCAAUCUGCCAAGUCGACCUGCUUCUGAGGUACAUCAGAGUUUGAG